rnacentral:rRNA from 1 species
AGCGAACGCUGGCGGCAGGCCUAACACAUGCAAGUCGAACGAACUCUUCGGAGUUAGUGGCGGACGGGUGAGUAACACGUGGGAACGUGCCUUUAGGUUCGGAAUAACUCAGGGAAACUUGUGCUAAUACCGAAUGUGCCCUUCGGGGGAAAGAUUUAUCGCCUUUAGAGCGGCCCGCGUCUGAUUAGCUAGUUGGUGAGGUAAAGGCUCACCAAGGCGACGAUCAGUAGCUGGUCUGAGAGGAUGAUCAGCCACAUUGGGACUGAGACACGGCCCAAACUCCUACGGGAGGCAGCAGUGGGGAAUCUUGCGCAAUGGGCGAAAGCCUGACGCAGCCAUGCCGCGUGAAUGAUGAAGGUCUUAGGAUUGUAAAAUUCUUUCACCGGGGAAGAUAAUGACGGUACCCGGAGAAGAAGCCCCGGCUAACUUCGUG